GGUGUCGAUGUGGACGAAAAAGGUUGAAAUGUUAAGGGCGUGGUUGCUCCUCGUAGAGAAAGGUCUGGAAAAAGCAAGAUAGUUAUCUAGAGUAUCGAAGCGG
rnacentral:lncRNA from 1 species